rnacentral:rRNA from 1 species
GUGGGGAAUAUUGGGCAAUGGGGGCAACCCUGACCCAGCGACGCCGCGUGAGGGAAGAAGGCCUUAGGGUCGUAAACCUCUGUUGUGUGGGAAGAAGGAAGUGACGGUACCACACGAGGAAGUCCCGGCUAACUACGUGCCAGCAGCCGCGGUAAUACGUAGGGGACGAGCGUUGUCCGGAAUUACUGGGCGUAAAGGGCGCGUAGGCGGUCAUUUAAGUCAGCUGUGAAAUGGUCCGGCUCAACCGGAUCAUGCGGUUGAAACUGGAUGACUGGAGUGCUGGAGAGGCAAGUGGAAUUCCCAGUGUAGCGGUGAAAUGCGUAGAUAUUAGGAAGAACACCAGUGGCGAAGGCGACUUUCUGGACGAAAACUGACGCUGAGGCGCGAAAGCCAGGGGAGCGAACGGGAUUAGAAACCCGUGUAGUCC